rnacentral:tRNA from 1 species
GGGGAUUUAGCUCAGUGGUAGAGUGCUUGCCUAGCAAGCACAAGGCCCUGGGUUCGGUCCUCAGCUCCCCCC